AACACGCGAAAAAUAAUGAUCAUCAGUUCAAGUUUGAUGAAGGAACGAUUCUAAAGCGAGAGAGAAAUAAAACAAAACUCCAAAUUCAUGAAGUCAACCAAAUCAUCAAGUUUGAAAUGAAUGCAUGCAAUGAUAAAACCGAUAAAAAAGACUACACAAAUGCUUAUGUUAAUCUCAUUAAGAAUUCAAAAUAAGUUUUUGACACCGAAAUAUUCAAUUCAUAUUAAUUAAUGUUGAUAGGUUUUUGAAUCGAUUAGGUUUUUUCGUGCAAUAUGAUUCCGUUUAAUGAGCGCAUUUUCGCCAAUCAGAGCAAGUGCCAACUUUGACAUUUCGCUGCAUUGUUUGUUAUUGAAAAUUAGAUUCACAGUGUUAGAGUCAAUUGGCUCUUGAUCCUGAAGAUGGCUUUUGAUAAGCCGAAAUAUAUCGAUCAAAUGGAAUCAUAAAUUUUUUUUUGCAUUUUCAUUCGGAACAAGAAGGAGGCAAUACAAAAAAGUCACACACUCUGUGUGAAUCAAAUAAAUUCACCGUUCCGGCAAUACAACAUACACAGUCCAAUUGGAUUGUUUUUUUUUCAAUUAGGCUCCCAUCAUCUUUGCGAAAAAAUAUCAGUUUGCCUUGAUCAAAACCCUAAAAAAUGGCUUUCUGAGUGAUUUUUCAUAUAAAAGUGCCAUUUUCGAUGAAAAUUUCAAAAAAUAUCGAUUUCGGACCCAAUUUAUGGACAAACAAAUGGAUUUAUUUUUGCAAAAUAAUGCCAGUUUCCUUUGACCAAAACCCUGAAAAAUGCUUUUUUCGAGUACUUCCCAUACAAAAGUCUCAAUUUACUUAGGGAUUUCAGGUCCUCAGUCUGAGGCACAUUGCACGAAAUCGUUUGCAAUUAUCUCGUCAAUUUUUUGAGACAAUGGGCGAACAAGUUUACGUAGAACGCGGGCGAGAACGCGGACGACGCCAUACAAACAUUGCUGUUUUACACAUUUUUCAUAGUAAACAACGUAUUUUUGGUGGUAUAUAAGUCUUGAUCGAUGGGAUUAGAUCCCAUUUACAUUGCCUAGUGUAUGGAUUUGUGCUAUUUGAAGUUUUGGGCAGCUUUAUAGUGGUCCGAAAGAGGAGGAGUCAUGAAAUUUCGGCUAGUAAAACCAAUACUUUUCCUUACAAACAAGUUUGCGGAAAAGUAAAAAUGUACAACGAACGCAUUUAUAUUUUCAUUUCAAUUCGCGCUGAUGAUAACAAGGAAUUAUUCGAGAUCAAUGCACAAGAUUUCAUCAAUGUGUUUGUGUGGAAUAGCGUAAGCAGUGUAUAUAAUCUGAAAUCGCAUAACAGAUAACUGUAAUAAUUAUUUUCAACUCUUUCUCGACCAAAUAAUUCGGUUUAAUUGUAAUUUAUAUAGUAUUUCUUGUGCUUUUAUGAAAUUCAUACGACAUUAAAACAAAUCUUUCCAUUCUUUUUAAGAAAUCAAACAAUGUUUUUGAAUUCAUCACAAAGUUAUUGUUGUUAACUGACAGUUGUUUGUGGCGGCAACUGUAUUUCAACUACAACAUCAUUUUUGGCAAAAGUUACAUAAAAGAUCUUAUCGCUUCUUUUUUAAAUGAUUGACAAGAGAUAAUCGGAAGAAAACUAUAUGAGAUGAGGUUUUACAACAAUAGAUGGGGAUGCUUAUGUGCAGGGUCUACUAUCAUAUAUACGGUAGUGUAUUUCAAACAUUAUUUGCACGUGAUCUCAAAAACCCAAACUUUUUGUAUUCCAAACUUUCCCAUAGUUGGAUGAAGAAAAUAAUAUUAUUUGUAUAUUCUGGUUUAUUUUUGUCAAUUCACUUGAAAAAAUAGACAGGGAACAAAAAUUUAACCUUUUUCAGUAGAUUUCACCGUCGCGUAAUGUAAAG